GGGUCCUACGGGGCGCAGCAGUGGGGGAUAUUGCACAAUGGGGGGAACCCUGAUGCAGCGAAGCCGCGUGGGUGAAGAAGCGUUUCGGCGCGUAAAGCCCUGUCAGCAGGGAAGAAGAUGACGGUACCUGACCAAGAAGCCCCGGCUAACUACGUGCCAGCAGCCGCGGUAAUACGUCGGGGGCAAGCGUUAUCCGGAUUUACUGGGUGUAAAGGGGGCGCAGACGGCGAUGCAAGCCAGGAGGGAAA
rnacentral:rRNA from 1 species